UACGAAGGGGGCUAGCGUUGCUCGGAAUCAUUGGGCGUAAAGCGUACCGAUAGGUGGCUUUGUUAGCCAGUGGUGAAAUCUCCGAGCUCAACUCGGAAUCUGUCCAUUGGAACUGCAAAGCUAGAGGGGCAAAGAGGAAGCUGGAACGAACGGUGUAGUAGUGAAAUGCGUUGAUAUCGUUCGGAACACCAAUAGCGUAGGCAGGCUUCUGGGUGCCACCUGACACUGCUAGGACGAAAGCGUGGGGAGCGAAUGGG
rnacentral:rRNA from 1 species